rnacentral:rRNA from 1 species
CCUACGGGGGGCAGCAGUGGGGAAUAUUGGACAAUGGGGGAAACCCUGAUCCAGCGACGCCGCGUGGGUGAAGAAGGCCUGCGGGUUGUAAAGCCCUUUCGGUGGGGAAGAAAAGCCUCGACCUAAUACGUCGGGGUGUUGACGUAACCCACAUAAGAAGCACCGGCUAACUCUGUGCCAGCAGCCGCGGUAAUACAGAGGGUGCGAGCGUUAAUCGGAAUUACUGGGCGUAAAGCGCGCGUAGGCGGCAUUGCAAGUCGGGUGUGAAAUCCCCGGGCUCAACCUGGGAACUGCAUUCGAGACUGCAUUGCUUGAGUAUGGGAGAGGGAGGCGGAAUUUCCGGUGUAGCGGUGAAAUGCGUAGAUAUCGGAAGGAACAUCAGUGGCGAAAGCGGCCUCCUGGACCAAUACUGACGCUCAUGUGCGAAAGCGUGGGGAGCAAACAGGAUUAGAUACCCUGGUAGUC